UUCACCUGUUUGCCCCGUUUUCCCACACAAAAUCCGAAUCAUCUCCAUCCACCCCCUCGCUCCGCUUCGCGCCUUUUUUUUAUUCUCCGUUGUUUUUCUCUUCGUACUCGCCGCUGCCAAUCUUCACGCUUGGCGUAUCGUCUCGGAUGAUGACAGACUCAGAUCGGCCUCGGCUGUUUCGGUUGAAGGAGCGACGCUCGACCGGUGGAGGUGCCGAGAGCGAAACCCAAAGAAUCUCAUCCUUCGAAUUGGUGGAUCGUAUCCAGAUGAUGAUCGUAAACAGUGAACACCACCCCGCGUCCCCCUUUGCGCGCGGCAUAGAUGGGCGAAAUAAUGGAAUUCCGAAAGGCGGCAAUGAAGUGGGAGCGAGCAGAACGAAGCAAGAGUUGACAGGACGUAUUCUGGAGUGAAUUGGAAUUUGACUCGGAAGUUCAAUCAGACAUGAAAAUGGUCCUGAUGAUGGUUCAGCGGCGAUGGCAGCGUAAGCCCGAGAUGGCCCGGCGACAGAUAAAUCUGAUCCAGACAUGGGCGAGGACAAGAAAGCGAGGACUUGAAUCAGAGUGGCCGCAACUCGAAUGUGGAAUCUAAUGGUGUUUUUUACUGUGGGGAUGAUCUGAAUUGCUGGAGAUGAAUCAGGGGAAUCCAGAGCUAGAGAGAGAUGCGAAAAAAAAAUUUGGUCAGAGAAAAAUCCGUCAAGUUUGCAAGGAAGGUGUUUGAUGGAAUGACAAAGCUGGACUCUGUCUCCAAGGAUUCCCAUUCGAGAGAGAGAGAGAGAGAGAAUUAGCGAGCUUUAUCUGGCGGUGAGAGCAAGUUCGAGUUUGAGAGGGCAUGAUGUUGUCAAUUCUAAUACGAAAAGCCACUGCUAGAGGCUUGGAUGCUGUGUUGUUGAGAGAAAGGCUGUGGAAGAGUUGUGCCGCAGAAAUGCUGUUAUGUACUAAUGCUACUGCAGGCAAAUAGAUGACUGUGAGAGAGGCUAUGAAUGCUGCGUUUGAUGAGGAAAUGUCUGCAGAUCCUAGAGUAUUUCAAUGUGUCUUAAAGGUUAUUUUUAUUUUUUAUUUUUUUUGGCAUAAGUAUGGACCUGAGAGGGCUGUUGAUACUGCAAUCAUGGAGGCUAGUUUUGCUGGAGAUGAAGUUGGUGCUGCUUUCUAGUCCCUAUAGUUUCAAGAGGAGCUGCAGCAGGAGUCAGUGCCCAUCAUUCCCAAGCCUCGUGAAGACAUAGCCAUCCCACCUGGAGGAAGCUUUUCCGGAUCCGACCUCAUUAUAUCACUCGUCACCCUCAGGAUCUAUCGGACUCGAGAAUGGCUCAUGGCGUGCGAAAUGAGAGUUGCUCAUGAACGGUGUAACAUUUCUGGUUUGUCCCUCCAACAAAGUGCUUCCUCAUCCUCUGGUUUUUCCAGAUUGGCGGUCACUAAUUUAUUAAUGCAGUGUGUUUAGUUGCAUUAUUUGAAUGCGUUGUUGCCAAGGAGUGAAUUUUUUGCGUGGUUGCAAAUUGAAUCGGUGUUUACUCAAAGUCUCCUUUUCAGUUGAUAUUAAUAUUAUGAUGGGAUCAACAUAAGCAUAGAAAAAUACACGGUACAAGUGCCCAUUAUAAGAUCGUUGACGCAGGAUGGGACCAUUGUAAUUACUCUACUUAACUCAGCUUGUAAUUUUUGGUUUUAGCCUCAGAAAGUUUCAUGUCUCCUUUUGUUUGAAAGGGUAAGCAACCAUUCACAAAUUCUGGACAUGUUUGUCCUGUUCCCAAGUAGUAAUUGCUUUUGCCA